CCUCGUGCGCUGCCGUGAAGCCCUCGUGUUGCUGCGCCGCCGCGCGGUGGUGCCGCUUCCCGUUCAGGGGCUGGAACACCAGCUUGGCCGGCGGAGAGCUGCGGCACACGGGAGAUGAAGGUCACCCUCACUGGAUUUCAAGACCAUGCAAAAAGGCCGAAAACGUCCCGUCACCGGGAUCGAAACUCCGCUGCUAUGCAAUAGCAAGACAUGUGACUUCGGGGUCACGAUCGACACUGUCACCGGCGCACUGAGGGUGUAAGAUCUCCAACCCAAAGCAGCACGUCUGCUGUCCGCACGUCGAGGGCACUUACUUUGUCAAAGCCCAAGCGCCUGAUUUGAUCUUAGCCUCGCUGACUUUGAUGUCGAUCUGCUGCGUGGGACCUGUGUGCGUUUGCAGAGGAAUACAGCAGAUCGCAUGUGUUUUGUCACCCUGCACACGGAGCAAUUACAAUCCUCUCGCAGGUGGAUAGUUAAUAGGUAGUUGUUUCUACUGUUAAGUAAUAACAAGCAAGACAGUUACAAAAAGGUGACAAAGACAUACCUGUUCUUCGCUGCGUAACAAGUUUGCUGGGACCUUUGGUUAUCGUGUACAUCAUGCGCUUAACGAUUUACCCCUCCACUGGCCAAUAUCACAGAGGAAAGUACGAAAUCCCAACUGAUCAAAAUCAGAACAGCAAAACGAUCAGAUGGGAGUAAAAAUCAGUAAUUUGUAUUAAAAACUCGAAA